UACAGAGGUCUCAAGCGUUGUUCGGAUUCAUUGGGCGUAAAGGGUGCGUAGGCGGCGAGGUAAGUCGGAUGUGAAAUCCCCGGGGCUCAACCCCGGAACUGCAUUCGAUACUGCUUUGCUUGAGUACUGGAGAGGAGACUGGAAUUCCUGGUGUAGCAGUGAAAUGCGUAGAUAUCAGGAGGAAUACCGAUGGCGAAGGCAGGUCUCUGGGCUGACACUGACGCUCAUGCACGAAAGCCGUGGGGGAGCAAAACAGG
rnacentral:rRNA from 1 species